UAGGGAAUCUUCCACAAUGGGCGCAAGCCUGAUGGAGCAACACCGCGUGAGUGAAGAAGGGUUUCGGCUCGUAAAGCUCUGUUGUUAAAGAAGAACACGUAUGAGAGUAACUGUUCAUACGUUGACGGUAUUUAACCAGAAAGUCACGGCUAACUACGUGCCAGCAGCCGCGGUAAUACGUAGGUGGCAAGCGUUAUCCGGAUUUAUUGGGCGUAAAGAGAGUGCAGGCGGUUUUCUAAGUCUGAUGUGAAAGCCUUCGGCUUAACCGGAGAAGUGCAUCGGAAACUGGAUAACUUGAGUGCAGAAGAGGGUAGUGGAACUCCAUGUGUAGCGGUGGAAUGCGUAGAUAUAUGGAAGAACACCAGUGGCGAAGGCGGCUACCUGGUCUGCAACUGACGCUGAGACUCGAAAGCAUGGGUAGCGAACAGGAUUAGAUACCCUGGUAGUCCAUGCCGUAACGAUGAGUGCUAGGUGUUGGAGGGUUUCCGCCCUUCAGUGCCGGAGCUAACGCAUUAAGCACUCCGCCUGGGGAGUACGACCGCAAGGUU
rnacentral:rRNA from 1 species